AAUGGAGAAUUCAACAAUUAGAAGCACAAAUCAAACAACACAGAAAGAUCUCCAAGAAUACAGUGCUGAGUGAAAAAUUAAGCAAACGCGUGUGACAAAAACCAUGAUAUUAUGUGAAUUAACAGCAUAAAAGCACACACUUUUUUGUGAAAUCAUGAGAGCCACUGGAAUUCUGGGGCACUUGUGUAAUAAGCACAAGUUAAAUAUUCCAUCGUCAUUCGACUUUGUAGAUCGUUGUUGACAUAUUCUAACCAAGGCUUUUGGAAUUACUAUGGACCUUCCCACCACAGUGCUGCUUUGGAGGUGACAAAAUAUCAUUGCACAGUUCAAACUCACAAUCCCAGAGCUCACAUUACCUGUGAAUCAAUUGUGUACUUGACAGAAUCACUAUUUAAGUGUAUGAAUCAAUGAGAUACAUUCAGUUGAGGUUACAGCCAUUUCGAGUACAAAAAAUAAAUUGCUUUGUCACA